GACGAACGCUGGCGGCGUGCUUAACACAUGCAAGUCGAACGGAAAGGCCCUGCUUUUGUGGGGUGCUCGAGUGGCGAACGGGUGAGUAACACGUGAGUAACCUGCCCUUGACUUUGGGAUAACUUCAGGAAACUGGGGCUAAUACCGGAUAGGAGCUCCUGCUGCAUGGUGGGGGUUGGAAAGAUUCGGCGGUUGGGGAUGGACUGGCGGCUUAUUAGCUUGUCGGUGGGGUAGUGGCUUACCAAGGCUUUGACGGGUAGCCGGCCUGAGGGGGUGACCGGCCACAUUGGGACUGAGAUACGGCCCAGACUCCUACGGGAGGCAGCAGUGGGGAAUAUUGCACAAUGGGCGGAAGCCUGAUGCAGCAACGCCGCGUGCGGGAUGACGGCCUUCGGGUUGUAAACCGCUUUCGCCUGUGACGAAGCGUGAGUGACGGUAAUGGGUAAAGAAGCACCGGCUAACUACGUG
rnacentral:rRNA from 1 species